GACGAACGCUGGCGGCGUGCCUAAUACAUGCAAGUUGAGCGAUGAAGAUUGGUGCUUGCACCAAUUUGAAGAGCAGCGAACGGGUGAGUAACGCGUGGGGAAUCUGCCUUUGAGCGGGGGACAACAUUUGGAAACGAAUGCUAAUACCGCAUAAUAACUUUAAACAUAAGUUUUAAGUUUGAAAGAUGCAAUUGCAUCACUCAAAGAUGAUCCCGCGUUGUAUUAGCUAGUUGGUGAGGUAAAGGCUCACCAAGGCGAUGAUACAUAGCCGACCUGAGAGGGUGAUCGGCCACAUUGGGACUGAGACACGGCCCAAACUCCUACGGGAGGCAGCAGUAGGGAAUCUUCGGCAAUGGACGAAAGUCUGACCGAGCAACGCCGCGUGAGCGAAGAAGGUUUUCGGAUCGUAAAACUCUGUUGGUAGAGAAGAACGUUGGUGAGAGUGGAAAGCUCAUCAAGUGACGGUAACUACCCAGAAAGGGACGGCUAACUACGUG
rnacentral:rRNA from 1 species